UGAGUUGAUCGGAUGGUCGCUAGUAAUUGCUAGAGGAAAGUCCGGACUUCAUAGAGUAAAGUGCCAGGUAAUUCCUGGGAGGUGUGAACCUACGGCAAGUGCAGCAGAAAAUAUACCGCCAAGAAAUUGGUAAGGGUGAAAUGGUAGGGUAAGAGCCUACCGCGCAUUUGGUAACAAAUGCGGCAAUGUAAACCCCACUUUGAAGCAAGACCAAAUAGGAAUCCGUUUAGGUUACUCGCUUAGGAUUCGGGUAGGUUGCUUGAGCAAUAUGGCAACAUAUUGCCUAGAUAGAUGACCAUUUAUUACAGAAUCCGGCUUAUAGAUCAACUCGACUC
rnacentral:RNase_P_RNA from 2 species